AGAGUUUGAUCAUGGCUCAGAGCGAACGCUGGCGGCGUGCCUAACACAUGCAAGUCGCGUGAGAAAGGGGAGCUUGCUCCCUGAGUAAAGCGGCAUACGGGUGAGUAACACGUGGGCAACCUGCCCUCGAGUGGGGAAUAACCCAGGGAAACUUGGGCUAAUACCGCAUAACAUCUCGGGCUCCACGGAGCUCGAGAUCAAAGCUUGCCUCUGCAUGCAAGCUGGCGCUUGAGGAGGGGCCCGCGCCCGAUUAGCUAGUUGGUAGGGUAACGGCCUACCAAGGCAACGAUCGGUAGCCGACCUGAGAGGGUGACCGGCCACACUGGAACUGAGACACGGUCCAGACUCCUACGGGAGGCAGCAGUGAGGAAUAUUGGGCAAUGGGCGAAAGCCUGACCCAGCGACGCCGCGUGGAUGAUGAAGGCCUUCGGGUCGUAAAAUCCUGUCGAGGGGGAAGAAAUGACGCUCCGUUAAUAGCGGGGCGUCUUGACGGUACCCCUGAGAGCCC
rnacentral:rRNA from 1 species